rnacentral:rRNA from 1 species
AGAGUUUGAUCAUGGCUCAGAACGAACCGCUGGCGGCAUGCCUAACACAUGCAAGUCGAACGAGACCUUCGGGUCUAGUGGCGCACGGGUGCGUAACGCGUGGGAACCUGCCUUUAGGUUCGGAAUAACUCAGAGAAAUUUGAGCUAAUACCGGAUAAUGUCUUCGGACCAAAGAUUUAUCGCCUUUAGAUGGGCCCGCGUUGGAUUAGCUAGUUGGUGGGGUAAAGGGCCUACCAAGGCGACGAUCCAUAGCUGGUCUGAGAGGAUGAUCAGCCACACUGGGACUGAGACACGGCCCAGACUCCUACGGGAGGCAGCAGUGGGGAAUAUUGGACAAUGGGCGAAAGCCUGAUCCAGCAAUGCCGCGUGAGUGAUGAAGGCCUUAGGGUUGUAAAGCUCUUUUACCCGAGAUGAUAAUGACAGUAUCGGGAGAAUAAGCUCCGGCUAACUCCGUG